rnacentral:rRNA from 1 species
UACGAGAGGUGCAAGCGUUAUUCGGAAUUAUUGGGCGUAAAGGGCGCGUAGGCGGUACUAUAAGUUUUUUGUUUAAGACCUUGGCCUAACCAAGGAAAUGCGAAAAAUACUGUAGUGCUAGAGUAUAAUAGAGAGAAGUGGAAUUUUCGGAGUAGCGGUUAAAUGCGUAGAUCUCGAAAGGAACGCCAAUGGCGAAGGCAGCUUCUUGGAUUAUUACUGACGCUGAGGUGCGAAGGCGUGGGGAGCAAACAGG